AGCGAACGCUGGCGGCAGGCUUAACACAUGCAAGUCGAGCGGGCACUUCGGUGUCAGCGGCAGACGGGUGAGUAACACGUGGGAACGUACCCUUUGGUUCGGAAUAACGCUGGGAAACUAGCGCUAAUACCGGAUACGCCCUUUUGGGGAAAGGCUUGCUGCCGAAGGAUCGGCCCGCGUCUGAUUAGCUAGUUGGUGGGGUAAUGGCCUACCAAGGCGACGAUCAGUAGCUGGUCUGAGAGGAUGAUCAGCCACACUGGGACUGAGACACGGCCCAGACCCCUCGGGGGGGGGGCGGGGGGGAAUUUUGGAAAGGGGGCGAAAGCCUGAUCCGGCCCGGCCGGGGGGGGGAGGAAGGCUUUGGGGUUGUAAACCUUUUUUGCCCGGGACGAAAAUGACGGUACCGGAAAAAAAAGCCCCGCCUAACUUCGU
rnacentral:rRNA from 1 species